AAAAAAAAAAAAAGAGAGAGAUCAAAGAAACUGUAGAUUGUGAAAGAAUUGAUUGAAGCUAAAGAUGCCCUUCUUUUUCCUAGGCUACUUCUACAGUGAAAGGUUGAAAGCCAAAGAAUCACAAAUUAUUUUCCAAAUUUUGAUAAUCUUAUUAAAGGUUGAAAACACUUAAAUAUACAUAAUUAUUUAUAUAUCAUUAGUUUAAUAUUAUAAUCAAAUAAUGAAAAUUGUUUUCAUGAAAAUAAAAAAUAUUUUUCGCGUAUAAAUUAUUUUUCACGAAAUAAACAGAAUUUAAAAUACACUUUUCUGAUAUAUAGUGCUUUAUACUUCAAAUAUAUUAAUAUAAAG
rnacentral:misc_RNA from 1 species